UACGGAGGGUGCAAGCGUUGUCCGGAAUCACUGGGCGUAAAGGGCGCGUAGGCGGCUCAUGAAGGCUGUGGUGAAAGUCCGGGGCUCAACCUCGGAUCGGCCGUGGCGACUCGUGGGCUGGAGCACUGUAGAGGCGGGUGGAAUUCCGGGUGUAGCGGUGGAAUGCGUAGAGAUCCGGAAGUACACCAGUGGCGAAGGCGGCCCGCUGGGCAGUGGCUGACGCUGAGGCGCGACAGCGUGGGGAGCAAACAGG
rnacentral:rRNA from 1 species